rnacentral:rRNA from 1 species
UACGUAGGUGGCAAGCGUUGUCCGGAAUACUGGGCGUAAAGCGUGCGCAGGCGGUUCGUUGUGUCGGCGGUGAAAGCCCCGGGCUUAACCUGGGAAUGGCCGUUGAAACUGGCGAACUGGAGUGUGGCAGAGGGGGGGGUGGAAUUCCGCGUGUAGCAGUGAAAUGCGUAGAGAUGCGGAGGAACACCGAUGGCGAAGGCAGCCCCCUGGGCUAACACUGACGCUCAGGCACGAAAGCGUGGGGAGCAAACAGG